UUCUACAGAAUUAUCUUCUGUUCUCACUAACAAAAGGUAUUAAAGCUUUUUUUUUUUUUUUUAAGUUCACCAUACUUUGGAUCAAAUAUCUCUUUAGAUUGACUCCCAACUCCCCAUUUAUUGGCCAUCUAUUACUUGGGAUCCAGUAAUCAAACCACACAAUUACCGUAUCCACUUUUAGGCUUUAUUUUCUUUUCUCUUAACUUGUCUCAUCUAGUCCUUCUGCUUCCAGACCUGCAUCCUCCUGUACUGGGUCAUCCUGGAAAACCUGUGUUGCUCCUCUGCCACUUAGCUGCAGAAAUCUCCUUCCUUGGAGACAGCUAGCAAUCUGGGCCUUUCACUAAGGCCUUGCUGUAUGGGAUGGGACCCAAAUAUUCCUGCACUGGACAAGGAGGACUGAUGGAAGCUUGUGCUAAAAUGAAUCUUCCUGACUCCAGGCCUGGCACUCUAUCCACUGCAUUUUGAGAAUGAAGGACCAACAAAAAGCAACACUCACUGAUUUGAAUUGAAGGAAGGAUGGGAAGACAUGGAUUCGCUAUGAGAAGGAAGAAGGGCUUAUCAGAUAUGUGGAUGAUUAUUAGGAUUCAGAAGAGCCGAGUGGAGAUGAGGCAGAGAGGGCAUUCUGAUGGUGGGGGAAGGAAUGGCAAGAACAAGGGUCCAUGUUGAACUAGACUGUCCACGCCGGGCUUGUCACAGGAGUGGGCAGAAGACCCCGAUCCCGCUGCCCUGUGAGCCGACCGCUCGUCGGUCUAUCCGUCCAUCCAU